GCGCUCGCUUCAGCAGCAUACACACUAAAACUGGAACAUAACAGAGAUUAGCAUGGCCCCUGUGCAAGGAUGACACGCAAAUUCGUGAAGUGUCCCAUAUUAAA
rnacentral:snRNA from 1 species